ACACGGGGGGGAGCUAACCAUGCAGUCGUACCAUGGUAACCAUUUCGGGCGGGGAUUAGUGGCGAACGGGUGAGUAACACGUGGGCAAUCUGCCCUGCACUCUGGGACAAGCCCUGGAAACGGGGUCUAAUACCGGAUAUGACUGUCCAUCGCAUGGUGGAUGGUGUAAAGCUCCGGCGGUGCAGGAUGAGCCCGCGGCCUAUCAGCUUGUUGGUGAGGUAGUGGCUCACCAAGGCGACGACGGGUAGCCGGCCUGAGAGGGCGACCGGCCACACUGGGACUGAGACACGGCCCAGACUCCUACGGGAGGCAGCAGUGGGGAAUAUUGCACAAUGGGCGAAAGCCUGAUGCAGCGACGCCGCGUGAGGGAUGACGGCCUUCGGGUUGUAAACCUCUUUCAGCAGGGAAGAAGCGAAAGUGACGGUACCUGCAGAAGAAGCGCCGGCUAACUACGUGCCAGCAGCCGCGGUAAUACGUAGGGCGCAAGCGUUGUCCGGAAUUAUUGGGCGUAAAGAGCUCGUAGGCGGCUUGUCACGUCGGUUGUGAAAGCCCGGGGCUUAACCCCGGGUCUGCAGUCGAUACGGGCAGGCUAGAGUUCGGUAGGGGAGAUCGGAAUUCCUGGUGUAGCGGUGAAAUGCGCAGAUAUCAGGAGGAACACCGGUGGCGAAGGCGGAUCUCUGGGCCGAUACUGACGCUGAGGAGCGAAAGCGUGGGGAGCGAACAGGAUUAGAUACCCUGGUAGUCCACGCCGUAAACGGUGGGCACUAGGUGUGGGCAACAUUCCACGUUGUCCG
rnacentral:rRNA from 1 species